AAGAUGAGAUUUCCCAGUAUGUAAGACCCCUUGAAGACGACGAGGUAGAUAGGUUGGAGGUGGAAGCACGGCAACGUGUGGAGCUGACCAAUACUAAUCGGUCGAGGGCUUAUCCAAAUAUACCCCA
rnacentral:rRNA from 1 species